GGCCAUAGACUUGUGGACUCAGCUUCUCAAAUCUCAUAGGACUACUCCUCUCUAUCAAGGUCAAUAGAACUCAUAUAGAUGCAUACGUUGCUUGCACAGCUCAACCAACUAAAGCCAACAUCCACUACAAAAAUUUAUAAUAGAGUUAAUGUUUAUGUAUAGUUAAACUACAACAGUCUUAUUGUAAGCAAUUGUGACACCGC
rnacentral:lncRNA from 1 species